CCUGCUCGAGCUCCGUAAAACGGCCGCUGACCGAACCCAACCGGAGUAUAAAACCCUAUCAGACCUCGCCUCCUUCUCAACCCUCCUGCGCCGCCACAAAGGAACCUCGAUGUAGCAAGAGGAAGGGGAGUACAACGAGAGGGAGAGAGAGGUUUCCGCCGCCGCCGGAUAGAUCCAUACCACGGUGGUGGCAGGGCCGUAGUAAAGCGCCUGGGGUGACCGCGAGCGGCUACUGAAGCUAUCCGUGGCAUCUCCUGGCGAUGUAAUCCAACAACGCGCCACCAAUUUCUCGACGCCUUUCCACCGCCGCCGCGAGUGCCUGUGCCGCCGUGGGUAGGGUUCUGCGCGUCGCCAACUCUGGUAAGAACCUGCCCAUAGACUCACGUCAAUCCCUGCUACGCGUAGCACCAUCGGAAUCAAAGUUCGAUGCGCGGGUUGCGGGAUCGUAGCCCUACGGCGAUGGCGCCGCCGUAGAUGGAGUAGGCAUCGCCGCUGUCGGGUUCGAGUGAGGAAGAGAGUGCGUGGGCCGUCCAUCCAUCACUUAACGACUAUGAUUAAAAGAUUGGAUGGGCACGCCGUAGCCAUUGAUCGGAAGAUGAACGACAUAAAUUAGAUCGGGCAUACCCCUUCGCCGGAUGAAGCCACGCCGUUGGAUCUCAAUCGGACGCAUCUGGGGCGGUCUGGAGCGUUUUAAAUCCGUGCCGUCAAUCGCGAAUCGAAGAGCUACCAUAGCGUACCGGUUUAGGUAGUCUUAAACUAAUCUGAGUCGUCCAAUGGGGAUCGGGCGGCUGAGAAUAAACACUACCCUUCGGCCUCUGCGGUCUUAUAAAAGAGCCCCUAUCCUUUAUCUAUAUCAACCCGCCGUCCAGAAGCAGUAGAAAAGGAUUUAAAUCGGGUCCCUGGUAUUUACGGUUUAGACCCCAUGUUCUCUGGAAAUUCGGUGUGCACUCCAGGGAUAUGUGAAAACAGGAAAAAGAAUCUAGAAAAUGGAUUUCUAGAGUAAAAAUAAUUCCAGAACUCAUUUAAUUCAUAGAAAAUUCAUUUUAAAUCUUUUUUUAUCCAUUCUAGUGACAUCAAUUAUGUUUAGCCAUAAAACAUAGAUUAAAAUUAUCUACUUAAUUUAUUCUAUAAAAACACUUAAUAACUUCAGAAAAUCAUAACUCGGUAAUCGUAAUUCGGAAUUUAGUGAUUCUUGUUCCUACGAUCUCAUUACGACGCGUAGAAUAUUAUCAUGCAUUCUGUUCUGUUGUUUUGUGUGAUGUUAAUUUCUCCUGUACUAUGUUUGUUUGUAUUGUUGCGAGUAGACGAGCAAGUGACCGAGAACCCAGAUGUUCAGCAGGUGGAGACUGCUGAGCAGGAGCUCGUUGAAGGCAAGUUGUGUCCUUGAUCACUUCUAUUUACCCAUUAAUGUUCAUAUUAAUCAUUAUGAUCUGUAUAGGUUAAUUUUGAUGGGACCCAAUAGGUCAUCCUAGUUUGGCUAUCUUUAUACCUUGUUUACCACUGAACUUUUGGGUAGUACCUGCUAUUGCUUUAUGUGGUUUUGGGUAUUGAGAUACACAUUAUUCAUGAUCAUGCUUUUAUUAUCAAUUUGUUAUUUACUGUACAUGAUAAGAUCAUAUUGUUAAUUGGAACAUGGAGAACCACCCGCGAAACAGUGUUACCACAAGGGUGGUAUGGGACACCCUUGUCUGACUAAUUGGGAAAGCUAGUGGAGGACUACCUUACCCGAAAGGGGCAAGGGCAGUAGGGAGUGGUCGGUGUAGGGAGGUUCUCGGGUUUAUUUUGCUGCGAUGGCGGUCAGAUGGGGGAUCCUUGCAUCGCGCUUCCUAGAAAUUGUAGCGGGUUUUCUGAAGCUAGUGGAACUUUGUAAAGGCCUUGUAGUGUUACCUUGCCUCGCUUCCUUGGUAGAGGUGUAUGGGAUUCAUGACCCCUUGGUAGAUGGGUAACAUGACUCGUGGGUAAAGAUGUGCAACCUCUGCAGAGUGUAAAACUGGUAUAUCAGUCGUGCUCACGGUCAUGAGCGGCUAGGACCCUCACAUGAUUAACUUAUGGAAUUAAAUUUAAUUGGUCAUUUGCAUCGCAUUGUGGUUUAUUAUUAAUCUGAUCUAUUAUUACUCUGGUUUGGUAUUUACUUACAUUUAGUAACUGCUAAUAAAAUUUGACCAACUUAUUAAAAGCAAUGCUCAGCUUUAACCAUUAUUUGUUGAUCAGCCUUACACUUCACAUGAGCUCCCACCUUUGAUGAGUUCAUGCACAUUAUUACCCAUAACUUGUUGAGCUAUGAUCUUUUGUGAGCUCACUCUUGCGAUAUAUAAACCCGCAGGAGAAGAACAGGUGGUCCAGGAGGAGCCCUACAACGAGGAAUAUGAGCUUAUCUAGGUUGCGUCUCCCAGUGUGCUUGAUGACGACAAGGAAUAAUUAUUUAGUUCAUUUUAUUGUUAUCAUCUAUUUUUGUAAGACUUCCGCUAUGUAAUAAUGAUACUUGUGACAUUUAUCUCUAUACACUUUGUCAUUAUAUGUGAUGUUCUCCUUUGGCGCACAUAUGAGACGCACUCAGCU
rnacentral:lncRNA from 1 species